UGAUCUUGGCUCUAGGACGAUCGCUGAGCGGCGUGCCUUAAUACAUGCAAGUCGAGCGGACAGAUGGGAGCUUGCUCCCUGAUGUUAGCGGCGGACGGGUGAGUAACACGUGGGUAACCUGCCUGUAAGACUGGGAUAACUCUGGGAAACCGGGGCUAAUACCGGAUGGUUGUUUGAACCGCAUGGUUCAAACAUAAAAGGUGGCUUCGGCUACCACUUACAGAUGGACUCGCGGCGCAUUAGCUAGUUGGUGAGGUAACGGCUCACCAAGGCAACGAUGCGUAGCCGACCUGAGAGGGUGAUCGGCCACACUGGGACUGAGACACGGCCCAGACUCCUACGGGAGGCAGCUGUAGGGAAUCUUCCGCAAUGGACGAAAGUCUGACGGAGCAACGCCGCGUGAGUGAUGAAGGUUUUCGGAUCGUAAAGCUCUGUUGUUAGGGAAGAACAAGUACCGUUCGAAUAGGGCGGUACCUUGACGGUACCUAACCAGAAAGCCACGGCUAACUACGUGCCAGCAGCCGCGGUAAUACGUAGGUGGCAAGCGUUGUCCGGAAUUAUUGGGCGUAAAGGGCUCGCAGGCGGUUUCUUAAGUCUGAUGUGAAAGCCCCCGGCUCAACCGGGGAGGGUCAUUGGAAACUGGGGAACUUGAGUGCAGAAGAGGAGAGUGGAAUUCCACGUGUAGCGGUGAAAUGCGUAGAGAUGUGGAGGAACACCAGUGGCGAAGGCGACUCUCUGGUCUGUAACUGACGCUGAGGAGCGAAAGCGUGGGGAGCGAACAGGAUUAGAUACCCUGGUAGUCCACGCCGUAAACGAUGAGUGCUAA
rnacentral:rRNA from 1 species